GCCGAGGUGGCGGAAUAGGCAGACGCGCACGCUUGAGGGGCGUGUGGGCAAGCGCUCGUGGGGGUUCGAGUCCCCCCCUCGGCACCA
rnacentral:tRNA from 1 species